GCGUGUAUAGAUUAGUUAAAUCGCAAGGCUGUUAACUUUGAGAAGGUCUUUAGGGCCUGCAGGCG
rnacentral:tRNA from 1 species